AGAUUGAACGCUGGCGGCGUGCCUAACACAUGCAAGCCGAGCGGUAACAGGUGUAGCAAUACAUGCUGACGAGCGGCGAACGGGUGAGUAAUGCUUUGGAAUCUUCCCAGUAGUGGGGAAUAACCAGUCGAAAGAUUGGCUAAUACCGCAUACGUCUGUAAAGGGAAAGCGGGGGCUCGUAAGACCUCGCGCUAUUGGAUGAGCCAAAGUCGGAUUAGCUAGUUGGUGGGGUAAUGGCCUACCAAGGCGACAAUCCGUAGCUGGUCUGAGAGGACGACCAGCCACACCGGAACUGAGACACGGUCCGGACUCCUACGGGAGGCAGCAGUGGGGAAUAUUGGACAAUGGGGGAAACCCUGAUCCAGCGACGCCGCGUGUGUGAAGAAGGCCUGCGGGUUGUAAAGCACUUUUAGUGGGGACAAAAAGCUACGGACUAAUAUUCUGUGGUCUUGAUUUAACCCAAAGAAAAGCACCGGCUAACUCUGUGCCAGCAGCCGC
rnacentral:rRNA from 1 species